rnacentral:rRNA from 1 species
CGGAGGUACUCGAGUGGCGAACGGGUGAGUAACACGUGGGUGAUCUGCCCUGUACUCUGGGAUAAGCCUGGGAAACUGGGUCUAAUACCGGAUAGGACCAUGCUUUAGUGUGUGUGGUGGAAAGUUUUUUCGGUGUAGGAUGAGCCCGCGGCCUAUCAGCUUGUUGGUGGGGUAAUGGCCUACCAAGGCGGCGACGGGUAGCCGGACUGAGAGGUUGGUCGGCCACAUUGGGACUGAGAUACGGCCCAG